AGUUAACCUAACCUAUGGAUGGGGAUAACCUCGGGAAACUGAGAAUAAUCCCCGAUAGACCACAAUGCCUGGAAUGGUUUGUGGUUGAAAUGAUUUAUCGCCGUAGGAUGGGACUGCGGCCUAUCAGCUAGUUGGUGAGGUAAUGGCCCACCAAGGCUAUAACAGGUACGGGCUCUGAGAGGAGGGGCCCGGAGAUGGGUACUGAGACACGGACCCAGGCCCUAUGGGGCGCAGCAGGCGAGAAACCUUUGCAAUGUGCGAAAGCACGACAAGGUUAAUCCGAGUGUCUUCUGCUAAAGAAGUCUUUUGUUAGUCAUAGAACCACUGAUGAAUAAGGGGUGGGCAAGUUCUGGUGUCAGCCGCCGCGGUAAAACCAGCACCUCGAGUGGUCAGGAGGUUUAUUGGGCCUAAAGCAUCCGUAGCCGGUUGUUUAAGUUUUCGGUUAAAUCUAUGCGCUUAACGUAUAGGCUGCCGAAAAUACUGGACAGCUAGGGAGUGGGAGAGGUACACGGUACUCAAUAGGAAGGGGUAAAAUCCUUUGAUCUGUUGAUGACCACCUGUGGCGAAGGCGGUGUACCAGAACACGUUCGACGGUGAGGGAUGAAAGCUGGGGGAGCAAACCGGAUUAGAUACCCGGGUAGUCCCAGCUGUAAACGAUGCAAACUCGGUGAUGCAUUGGCUUGUGGCCAAUGCAGUGCCGCAGGGAAGCCGUUAAGUUUGCCGCCUGGGAAGUACGUACGCAAGUAUGAAACUUAAAGGAAUUGGCGGGGGAGCACCACAAGGGGUGAAGCCUGCGGUU
rnacentral:rRNA from 1 species